rnacentral:rRNA from 1 species
AUUGAACGCUGGCGGCAGGCCUAACACAUGCAAGUCGAACGAGUGGCGGACGGGUGAGUAAUGUCUGGGAAACUGCCUGAUGGAGGGGGAUAACUACGGGAAACGGUAGCUAAUACCGCAUACCAUCGGAUGUGCCAAGAUGGGAUGAGCUAAUAGGUGGGGUACAGGCGCAACUAGGCGACGAUCCCUAGAUGGGCUGAGAGGAUGACCAGCCAAACUGGAACUUAGACACGGGCCAGACUCCUACGGGAGGCAGCAGUGGGGAAUAUUGCACAAUGGGCGCAAGCCGGAUGCAGCCAUGCCGCGUGUAUGAAGAAGGCCGUCGGGUUGUAAAGUACUUUCAGCGGGGAGGCGUUACCCGCAGAAGAAGCACCGGCUAACUCCGUGCCAGCCGCCGCGGUAAUAC